UACAUGGGGUGCAAACGUUGCUCGGAAUUAUUGGGCGUAAAGCGCGCGUAGGCGGUUAUCUAAGUCGGAUGUGAAAGCCCUCGGCUUAACUGAGGAAGUGCACCCGAAACUGGAUAGCUAGAGUACGAAAGAGGGUCGCGGAAUUCCCGGUGUAGAGGUGAAAUUCGUAGAUAUCGGGAGGAACACCGGUGGCGAAGGCGGCGACCUGGGUCGAGACUGACGCUGAGGCGCGAAAGCAUGGGGAGCGAACAGG
rnacentral:rRNA from 1 species